GCACCCCCGCCAGCAGCUUGAUGUUCUUCAGCGGGAUCCCCUUGCUGCCGCCCCGCGCCAGCACCAGCGCGGCCAGGACGAGGUUUUGAGGGGAUUAUCUCUGAUAGCGGGAAGCCCUCGCAGCUGGAAAACGCGCAGGAGUGGCCCACGCAUCACGCGACCGAUUUUUCCACUAGGAUAAAUCCUCAGAUUUCAGUGUCUUCUUUCUGCGUCUCGUCCUCCCUGCCUUGGGAAUCCCGGCAGAGGGCAGAGUGGUCACAUCGCAGCCUUCCCAGAGACGGGAAGCGUUCCCGCAUCUCCUCGGGUCGCUUCUCCACCUCCUAAAAAGUGCUUUACAUCGUAAAAAAACCACGGUGUUAAAUCCAGCUGGUUAAUGGAUCCUACCUGCCAACCCUUUUAGACUGCUGUAACAAGGAGGAAUAUCAAACGCCUGCUGAAUUUCUGAAGAAACAACAGCUUCAGGCUUCACUUCUGCUACAAACAAAGGUCAUUUUUGUUGAGAAGAAAGAUACAAGUCUUUCUGAGGUCAACUUUAUGGACUGGCUAAAUUGUGUGAUUUUUGUGCAGUUCCUCAGAAAUUGCUUUAAAGUAGCCAGCGAUGGCAC